rnacentral:rRNA from 1 species
CCUACGGGGGGCAGCAGUGGGGAAUAUUGGACAAUGGGCGAAAGCCUGAUCCAGCCAUGCCGCGUGUGUGAAGAAGGCCUUCGGGUUGUAAAGCACUUUCAGUGGGGAAGAAAGCCUUGGGGCUAAUACCCUCGAGGAAGGACAUCACCCACAGAAGAAGCACCGGCUAACUCCGUGCCAGCAGCCGCGGUAAUACGGAGGGUGCGAGCGUUAAUCGGAAUUACUGGGCGCAAAGCGCGCGUAGGCGGUCUGAUAAGCCGGUUGUGAAAGCCCCGGGCUCAACCUGGGAACGGCAUCCGGAACUGUCAGGCUAGAGUGCAGGAGAGGAAGGUAGAAUUCCCGGUGUAGCGGUGAAAUGCGUAGAGAUCGGGAGGAAUACCAGUGGCGAAGGCGGCCUUCUGGACUGACACUGACGCUGAGGUGCGAAAGCGUGGGUAGCAAACAGGAUUAGAUACCCCAGUAGUC